GGUUUGUAGCUCAGUGGUAGAGUGCUUGCCUAGCAUGUGUGAGGCAGUGGGUUCGAGUCUCAGCACCA
rnacentral:tRNA from 1 species